AAGUCGAGCGCCCCGCAAGGGGAGCGGCGGACGGGUGAGUAACGCGUGGGAACAUACCCUUUGGUACGGAAUAGCCUCGGGAAACUGGGAGUAAUACCGUAUGUGCUCUUUCACUGUAGUGGUGGGGGAGGAAAGAUUUAUCGCCAAAGGAUUGGCCCGCGUUGGAUUAGGUAGUUGGUGGGGUAAUGGCCUACCAAGCCGACGAUCCAUAGCUGGUUUGAGAGGAUGAUCAGCCACACUGGGACUGAGACACGGCCCAGACUCCUACGGGAGGCAGCAGUGGGGAAUCUUAGACAAUGGGCGCAAGCCUGAUCUAGCCAUGCCGCGUGAUCGAUGAAGGCCUUAGGGUUGUAAAGAUCUUUCAGUGGGGAAGAUAAUGACUGUACCCACAGAAGAAGCCCCGGCUAACUCCGUGCCAGCAGCCGCGGUAAUACGGAGGGGGCUAGCGUUGUUCGGAAUUACUGGGCGUAAAGCGCACGUAGGCGGACCGGAAAGUCAGAGGUGAAAUCCCAGAGCUCAACUUUGGAACUGCCUUUGAAACUCCUGGUCUUGAGGUCGAGAGAGGUGAGUGGAAUUCCGAGUGUAGAGGUGAAAUUCGUAGAUAUUCGGAGGAACACCAGAAGCGAAGCAGCUCACUGGCUCGAUACUGACGCUGAGGUGCGAAACCUGGGGAGCAAACAGGAUUAGAUACCCUGGUAGUCCACCCCUAAACGAUAAAUGCCA
rnacentral:rRNA from 1 species